rnacentral:rRNA from 1 species
GACGAACGCUGGCGGCGUGCUUAACACAUGCAAGUCGAGCGAUGAAAUCCCUUCGGGGAUGGAUUAGCGGCGGACGGGUGAGUAACACGUGGGUAACCUGCCUCAAAGAGGGGGAUAGCCUCCCGAAAGGGAGAUUAAUACCGCAUAACAUUAGUUUUUCGCAUGGAGGACUAAUUAAAGGAGUAAUCCGCUUUGAGAUGGACCCGCGGCGCAUUAGCUAGUUGGUGAGGUAACGGCUCACCAAGGCGACGAUGCGUAGCCGACCUGAGAGGGUGAUCGGCCACAUUGGAACUGAGACACGGUCCAGACUCAUACGGGAGGCAGCAGUGGGGAAUAUUGCACAAUGGGCGAAAGCCUGAUGCAGCAACGCCGCGUGAGUGAUGAAGGCCUUCGGGUUGUAAAGCUCUGUCUUUUGGGACGAUAAUGACGGUACCAAAGGAGGAAGCCACGGCUAACUACGUGCCAGCAGCCGCAGUAA